UACGUAGGUGGCGAGCGUUGUCCGGAAUUACUGGGCGUAAAGCGUGCGCAGGCGGUUUUGUAAGUCAGAUGUGAAAUCCCCGGGCUUAACCUGGGAACUGCGUUUGAAACUACAAGGCUAGAGUGUGGCAGAGGGGGGGUGGAAUUCCACGUGUAGCAGUGAAAUGCGUAGAGAUGUGGAGGAACACCGAUGGCGAAGGCAGCCCCCCUGGGUUAACACUGACGCUCAGGCACGAAAAGCGUGGGGGAGCAAACAGG
rnacentral:rRNA from 1 species